rnacentral:rRNA from 1 species
UACGGGGGGGGCAAGCGUUGUUCGGAAUUACUGGGCGUAAAGGGCUCGUAGGCGGCCAACUAAGUCAUACGUGAAAUCCCUCGGCUUAACCGGGGAACUGCGUCUGAUACUGGAUGGCUUGAGUUCGGGAGAGGGAUGCGGAAUUCCAGGUGUAGCGGUGAAAUGCGUAGAUAUCUGGAGGAACACCGGUGGCGAAGGCGGCAUCCUGGACCGAUACUGACGCUGAGGCGCGAAAGCGUGGGGAGCAAACAGG